ensembl:lncRNA
UGAUCAUCCUACACCCUGACCUCAUUAAUUCUCUUGUUGCUGAAUGCCAUCAAAUCCUUCUGGCAGUUCUCUGAAAUAUAUCCGAAAACCUUCCCUGGACAAUAAAGGCAGUUACUGAAAAGAUUAUGAGUAAACAAGUGUCUCAGUAUUUUUGUCCAUAUAGUGUGUGUUCUAGCGUGUUGAUUUAUUUAUUUAUUUAUUUAUUUAUUUUCCCCCCCAUUUUGAUUUACAGGAUAAUUGAAGACUCUGAGGAGUCUGACUCUUCCUCUACUCGCAAACAGAGCCGAAAGAAGAAAAGAAAGAAAAACAAAAGCAGAGACAGCUCAGAAAGUCCCUCACCUUCUCCUCGCAGAGAGAAAAAGAAAAACAAGAAGAAGAAAAAGAAAAGGUCUGUUAGUUUUCUCCUGUCUGGUGGUAUUAAAAAAACUUAAGUGAUACAUUAGUCACAUUCUGUAUCGUUGUACCAUGUUUUCAUGAUUUAUUGUUUUUCUGUUGCUUUUAGGGAAGAAUCAGUACAGAGUGACCAAGGAAGUUCAUCUGAGGACAAACAGGUGUCAAAGAGGAAGAGGAAAGGCAGUGAAAAUGAGACUCCUCCACCCACAAAGAGCCGAAAGCACCGCAGUGCAUCGUCCAGCUCAGCACACAGUAGGUCUCCAGCCCCAUUAAGGGAACGGCAACAAAACGCACCUGUUUCCAGAGCAGACGAGGGGCGGAGGGGAAGAUCUCCUGAUCGAAGAGGCCAUAUGCGCCAGGAAAGCCCAGAAAGGAUAGCAGUUAGAGAGAGAUCGCCAAGACAUUCCAGGUCCCCUGAGCGAAACAGGAGGGACAAGGAAAAAGAUCGAGAACGAGAGAAAGAGCGCAUAAAAGAAAAGCCCCAAAGAGGACGGCAUGAUUCCUCAUCUCCUUCUCCAGCCCCGAAACAGCAGCGGGACAGAAGAACACAGAGCGAAGAGAAAGAAAAAGCACCACAGAGAAAAAGACACGACUCAUCAUCUCCAUCUCCCAAACGACAAAAAGACAGGCGGCAGAGGAGUGUGGAGAGAGAGCGUGAGGAUGAGCGAAGAAAGAGGGACAAACCACAGAAACGCCACAGUUCCUCGUCAUCUCGAUCACCUUCUCCACAGAAAGACAGAGCACAGAGAGGACGCAGCGCAGACCGAAUGAAAGGGCCUUCUUUCACAGCUCCUACAAACAGGGACCGAGAAAGAGAUAGAGGGAUAGACAGAUACAGGGCGAGGGAUGGAGGUAGAGAUAAAGGCAGAGAGAGAGGCAGAGACCGCUCCAGUGACUCUUCCUCACCUGCACGCCAUUCGCCAUACUCGAACGGAAAGCAGAAAGAGGCAGAGCGCGAAAGAGAGCGAGCAAAAGAACGAGAAGAGCAGAAAGAAAAGGAGCGUGCGAAGGAGAGGGAGCGAGAAGAACAGAGAGAAAAGGAAAGAGCGAAGGAGAGGGAGCGAGAACGAGAAGAGCAGAGAGAAAAGGAGCGAGCGAAGGAGAGGGAGCGUGAAGAGCAGAGAGAAAAGGAACGGGCAAAGGAGAGGGAGCGAGAACGAGAAGAGCAGAGAGAAAAGGAGCGAGCGAAGGAGAGGGAACGAGAAGAGCAGAGAGAAAAGGAAAGAGCAAGAGAGAGGGAGCGGGAAGAGGCUAGGAGGCAGGAGGAGAGGAGAAAAGAACGAGAAAAUGAGAGAGAAAAAGAAUUGUCCAGGUCCUCCUACAAUAAACACUCUGAAGAUAGGCGCUCUGGACGAGAGAGCGAGAUGGAAAGGAGGACAGACAGAGAAAAGGCUGUACCAGAGCAUGAGAGGAAGGAGAGAAGCUUAAGGGAAGGGGAUGAAAGGCUGGGAAGAGCGAGAGACAAGAGCUCACAAGAGAAAGACAGAGAAAAACAACAGACAAAGGAGAAAGAGAGGGAAAAACCUGGGAAAGAGAAGCCGGAGAAGAAGAGCAAAUCCAAAGCUGCCAGCAGCAGUAGCAGUAGUAGCAGCAGCGAUAGUAGUAGUAGUAGCAGCAGUAGUGAUAGCAGCGAUAGUGACAGUGACAGUUCAUCUUCAUCCUCCUCCUCUUCCUCCUCCUCCUCAUCAUCAUCUUCCUCAUCUUCUGAGAAUGAAAAGCAGGGGAAAAAGAAGAGUCCCUCAAACAAAAAUAGCACUUGUGGUAUGCCGGUUUCUCCAGCUGUCAUAGCUCAGGCUAUGGCUCGGAGGGAGAAAGAGAAGGAUGCAGAAGAGAGCAAUAAAGAGGUAUACCCUGCAGCUGAGACUGAAAGGGAAAAUCCAGCACAACGUGACCGUCUUUCAUCCAUUCGAGAAGAGGAUAAGGACAAGAGAAGCAAAGAGUUAGACAGGGACAGGUCAAGGUCCCUGCCAUCAAAUUCUCCCCCUAGAGUAGCUCAGAGAGACCGAGGGGUGGAGAAGGAACAAGAUCGAGGGUCAGAGAGAGAGAGGGAUCGAGGAAAAGAGAGAUAUACCCCCACAGAAAGCUCAAGCCCCCCUCCAUCACCUCCGACAAGGAGCGCUGGAAGAGAUCGAAGCAGGAAUAGUCCACAGGAAGCUUACAGAAACCAAAACAAAGAAUCAGAGAGGCCCAGAGACAGCAAAAGCAGCAGAUACACAACUUCAGAGCUUGAGCGCGAAUCAGAUCGCUUCUCGCCAAGCAGGGACCGAAACAAGCCGAGUGAAGGGAGAAAGGAUUCACCUCCACUGCCACACUCUGCCAAGAGCAGAGGGAGGGAGAGCAAGCCUCAAAGUAAACGGACGUUGUCUCGCUCCAGAUCUCCUGUACGUCCUACUCCACCCCGACAGUACCAGGAGCCCUCUCGCUCCCCCAGCCCUAGAAGGAGAGGCAGGAGACCUUCUCCAUCCCGUAACUCUCCCUUCUCACGCAGAGAAAAUAGCCAGGAGCGCCUUAGAGAGAGAGAGCGGGAGAGAGACAGAGACAGAGGGAGACCAGGAGAUAGAGACAGAGAACUGGAGCGCUCCAGAGAGAGGAGGACUAGAAACAGCAGGUCUCGAAGCCCACGUAGACGCAGCCCCCCAUACAGGUCACGUCAUUUACCUUUCCCUCCCCACGGGCGCAGAAGCAGUCGGUCACGAUCUAGAGAACGAGAGCGAGAAAGGGAGAGGGAAAGGGAAAGGGAGAGAACUCUCAUCCAGGAGAAUGAGCGCGAGCAGCAGAGAGCGAGAGAAAGGGAACGUGAUGAAGAAAAAGAAAAGAAAAAGUCACCCCCACGACGCUCGGCCUCUUCCUCUUCGUCAUCGUCUUCCUCCUCUAGUUCAUCAUCUUCCUCCUCCUCACCUUCUCCUGAGAGAAGGUCGGAUGCAGAGAAAGGAUUGAAGCCGAAAGACAAAAGAGAGAGUGAUGGAGAAAGAAAGAGUGGGUCUGAGAAAAGGUACAAGUCUCGCUCCCCUUCCCCUCCACAGACUCAAGGAACACGCAGCCCUCCAAACCCACCGGGCCGCCGGUCCCAGUCGAGAGACUGGCCUCAAAGAUCCAGCUCACCAGCUGUCAGCCAAUCGGAACCAAGAGAGGCGUCCAGAGGAAGAUCAAGAGGACAAUCACCAGUGGCUCAAAACCAAAGGCAACCAAUCAGAGGGGAGAGCGCAGUAAAUGGGAGACCAGAAAACGAUGCUGUGGCGCAACAGAAGAACAGCAAAAGUAGCUCCAGCUCAUCUUCCUCUUCUUCAUCUUCCUCUUCUUCCUCGUCUUCAGAUAGCUCUGACUCUGAAACAGAAAAAGACAAAGGGCCUAAAAAAGCAGCAGCAAGUAGACACUCUUCCUCAUCUUCAUCAGCAGUUGAUGAAAGCCCACCUCGUCGACCAAGAGUUCCAGCAGACUCACUGAGGGACUCUCGCUCACUCAGCUACUCUCCUCCACACAGACGACACAACGCUGUCCGUUCAGUUCCCACUCUGUUUGCAAGGAAGUCCAAAAGCAGAUCACCAAGCAACAGGAGAAGAAAAUAGAUGCAUUUAACUGUACAUCACCUUCCUUUGUAAUUUUCUUUUUUCCCUUUGGCAAUUUUCAAUGUCCCCACCUAGACUGUACUUUGUGAAUACUGCAGGGCUGACAUUUCCGACUAGGUCCUCCUCUAUUGUGUCGACAGAUUAAACCAAGAACUGGAGCAAGCAAAGUCAGAAGUCUGCAUUUGUGUUUCACUCAAAUUAUCAACAAUGAAUCUGAUUAUAUUUUUACUUUUAAUAUGGUGUAAGUAAUAUA